UACGUAGGGUGCAAGCGUUGUCCGGAAUUAUUGGGCGUAAAGAGCUUGUAGGCGGUUUGUCGCGUCUGCUGUGAAAAUUUUCGGGGGCUCAAACCCCCGAACUUGCAGUGGGGUACGGGCAGACUAGAGUGAUGUAGGGGAGACUGGAAUUGCCGGUGUAGUGGUGAAAUGCGUAGAGAUCGGCAGGAACACCCAGGGGGGAAACCAGUCGACUGGGCAGCACCUGACGCUGAGGUGCGAGAGCGUGGGGAGCGAACCGG
rnacentral:rRNA from 1 species